CCUACGGGAGGCAGCAGUGGGGAAUAUUGCACAAUGGGCGCAAGCCUGAUGCAGCCAUGCCGCGUGUGUGAAGAAGGCCUUCGGGUUGUAAAGCACUUUCAGCGGGGAGGAAGGCGUUAAGGUUAAUAACCUUGGCGAUUGACGUUACCCGCAGAAGAAGCACCGGCUAACUCCGUGCCAGCAGCCGCGGUAAUACGGAGGGUGCAAGCGUUAAUCGGAAUUACUGGGCGUAAAGCGCACGCAGGCGGUCUGUCAAGUCGGAUGUGAAAUCCCCGGGCUCAACCUGGGAACUGCAUUCGAAACUGGCGGGCUAGAGUCUUGUAGAGGGGGGUAGAAUUCCAGGUGUAGCGGUGAAAUGCGUAGAGAUCUGGAGGAAUACCGGUGGCGAAGGCGGCCCCCUGGACAAAGACUGACGCUCAGGUGCGAAAGCGUGGGGAGCAAACAGGAUUAGAUACCCGGGUAGUC
rnacentral:rRNA from 1 species